ensembl:lncRNA
ACAUGAUAGCAACUUUAAGAUAGGAUAUUUGUGAUAUGUUUGAAAGGUGUCACAUUUGAUUGUUUCAUUUGAAUAAAUAAUAAAACUGACCAACUUUUGUACUACUAUCCCUAAGUAUAGAGGCAGCACAUUGGCACAGUUUUGGAAUCAGAUUAUAUGCAAUUUAACCUUUGAUAGGCUAUAUAUACGGUAGCCCAGUAGUGCACAACACAACGAAAUCUCCACAACACAACAAAAACAAACCACAACACAACAAAAUUAGCACAAUGCAAUGGAAACAAGGCACAACACAAUGAAAUUAGCACAACACAACGAAAACCAAGGCACAACACAAAAACGAAAUUACCACAACACAAUUUAAACAAGCCGCAAGACAACAAAAUUACAGAAACAAGGUGAAACACAGCGAAAUUAGCACAACGCAACGGAAACAAGCCACAACACAACCAAAUUAGCACAACACAAUGGAAACAAGCUGCAACACAAAACAAUUAGCUGAAACACUACCAAAUUAGCACAACACAACAAAAACUAGUUGUAUGCAAUAUUGUUGUGUUAUGGAGAUUUUGUUGUGUGGUGCACUACUGGUCCACCGUAUAUAUACAAUGCUACUAAAUGAUUACCAUAUUUAUAUAUAAAGCAAGACUAUCAUGGCAAAAUACUUCAAAGCCAAGUUGGAACAUUUUGGGGGUGUUUUUAUCAGUGUUAACAGUUAAAGGACAACGGUGUUCCUCCUCUCAGGUGGUGAUCUGGUGCUGUUGUCCGAAACGAAGAGUUUUCAUGAAUGAAGCUGAAGAGAUGAAUCCUCCCAUGUACUUCAAUCCAGACAUCCCUAUGUAUUCAACACAAAACACGUUUGAUACAUCCAAUGGCAAACAAGCGGAUGUCAGAGAAAAACCUCCGAAAAACAGGACAGGAAUGUACGUGGUGAACCAAUGAAGGACACAGGUAUAGUCAAAACACAUAUGCAGCGGUGACACACUUCUGUAAAUAACCCAGCUCAAACUCACACUUUAACUCAAUCAUUCAGGUUUUCUGACCCCCAACAUUGUCCCUCCUUCCGUGUGUGCAGAACAAGGCCUGAGGAAACCCUUGUUGGAUGUAAAACAUACAUACAGUCAUAUAUCUGGCACUGUAAUGCAGGAUGUUGAACGGACAGGGAAAUGAUUUUACAUGCCAUUACAUUGAUGUAGAAUUUAUUUUCCUACUAUAUACCUUUGCACAAAGUAAUUUGUUACUUUUAAAAAUGGACUGAAUUAUGACAGUAAUGUGAUGUAUUAACAGUGAUUUAGUGAAAUUAAAAAGUUCUUUUUUUGGAGAAAAUAAUCUUAAUUUUAAUGGAAAAUACUGUUUCAUGGGGAACUAACCCUAAGAAUUUUUAGUGACAAUGCUGGGUUCUACCAUAGAUCAAAAUGAAGAGUUUUAGUUAGUUUGUGCAUUGGGUGACAAAUUUAGUAUGGAAUAAACUGAACAGAACUAGACUACA